rnacentral:rRNA from 1 species
AUUGAACGCUGGCGGCAUGCCUUACACAUGCAAGUCGAACGGUAACGCGGGGCAACCUGGCGACGAGUGGCGAACGGGUGAGUAAUGUAUCGGAACGUGCCCAGUUGUGGGGGAUAACUGCUCGAAAGAGCAGCUAAUACCGCAUACGACCUGAGGGUGAAAGCGGGGGAUCGCAAGACCUCGCGCAAUUGGAGCGGCCGAUAUCAGAUUAGGUAGUUGGGGGGGUAAAGGCUCACCAAGCCGACGAUCUGUAGCUGGUCUGAGAGGACGACCAGCCACACUGGGACUGAGACACGGCCCAGACUCCUACGGGAGGCAGCAGUGGGGAAUUUUGGACAAUGGACGCAAGUCUGAUCCAGCCAUGCCGCGUGCGGGAAGAAGGCCUUCGGGUUGUAAACCGCUUUUGUCAGGGAAGAAAAGGCUCCUUCUAAUAUAGGGGGCUCAUGACGGUACCUGAAGAAUAAGCACCGGCUAACUACGUGCCAGCAGCCGCAGUAA